UUCCAUCCAGUGGGUCCUCAUCCUGAAGGAUCAUAGAGUCACCCAGGAGCUUCUAAAAAUGCCACUCGCCCGGACUCGUGCCUUCCUCACCAACUCGGGAUUUCCGGGGCUCUGGAUUAUCGGUUCCCAGUACUCACAACUGGAUGCUGCGGAAAUAAGACAUGAGGACCUCGGCGUCGUCUCUGGGCACACAGCUCACCGGUCAUGAGUGAAGCUCCCAAGGCCAGCGAACCUCUCUCCAGCACCAACGGGGCUGUGACCAAUACUGCCUCAUGCCCAGUCCCUGAUCUUAUUUGUGGUAAAGCAGCCCACACUUUUUAGUGCAAGGAUUUCUGCCCCUCCCUGUUUGAUAGCGAUCAGAGACGCCUCACCGUGGGCCAUCCAUGCGGGUGUUUCGUUCACAUUUUUUCCAUUGGCAAUCUCUCUGAAGUAAAACCUCUCUCGUAUAUGAAUUAACUGGGACAAAGAAUGGGUGGCCUGCAGGGAGCCACGUUUAAAUAUACCUUGAGACGGUUUCAUGAAGAUUUCUUCCCCUCACCUCAUUUUCUAUGUGACUAUGAGGAUGUGCUCUUGUUUUCUGCAUGUUUCUCAUAAUCACUUUCUCGCUAGUGUGGCCUCUUCCGCCUCGCCUUCACAGACGGAGCUUGAUAAUACCUGCCUGAAGGGUGUUUGCUGUGAACUGGUCCCUUGAAGAAUCUUGAUGGACAGUGGCAAUCAUAAAGGCUAAAUUAGAGUGGGAACUGAAGGGAGAUGAGUGGAAGGGCAGGGAGGAAUCAGAGAACGUUAUUCUUCUUUUUUGUUUUGUUUUGUUUUGAGACAGAGUUUUGCUCUUGUUGCCCAGGCUGGAGUGCAAUGGUGUGAUCUCGGCUCACUGUAACCUCUGCCUCCCGGGUUCAAGUGAUUCUCCUGCCCCAGCCUUCCACGUAGCUGGGACCACAGGCACUCGCCACCAUGCCUGGCUAAUUUUGUAUUUUUAGUAGAGAUGAGGUUUCACCAUGUUGGCCAGCCUGGUCUCAAACUCCUGACCUCAGGUGAUCUGCCUGUCUUGGCUUCUCAGAGUGCUGGGAUUACAGGCAUGAGCCAUCCACUGAGCCAGAGAACAUUAUUCUUCUAAAUUCUGGGUUGUGAGUGUGUGAACAUGCGUAAGCAUGUGACCAUGUACAUACUAUUUCCCCCUUCCCUCUCUCUCGAGCAGCCCUACAUACCCUUUUCCUAGACAAAAUAACACCUUCCGAAUCACAGACCCCUUAGUUAUAAUAUCAGCAUGCCUACAAUUCCACCUGAGUAGCUUGACAUGAAGUCAUUACUUGUGUACAUCUUAACCUGCACCUGCUUAAUGUGAGGACUCCAGGUCAUAGCAAUUGUACUACUCAGAAACGCCUACUUCUGAUCAAUAAAGAGAAUCAUUAAACUUCUCAGAACAAA
rnacentral:lncRNA from 1 species